rnacentral:sRNA from 2 species
UUUAAAGUUUGCUAGGGUUCCGGUUUUUUUAAAACGUCUGGUCCGAGAGCAAACGGUUCUAACCAGUCUUUGGGCUUGCUUGGGACUACACGGCGGGACAAAAGCCCGGGAGAU